AACAACACUUCAACUUGCUGAUCGUUCAGUAAAAGUUCCAAGAGGGGUUGUAGAGGAUGUUCUAGUUCAAAUUGAUAAAUUCUAUUAUCCUGUUGAUUUUAUAGUUUUGGACACACAUCCUGUUUUAAAUUCAAAUGCACAAAUACCUGUCAUUUUAGAACGUUCCUUUCUUGCUACUUCAAAUGCAUUGAUAAAUUGUAGAAAUGGUAUUUUGAAACUCUCUUUUGGAAAUAUGACAGUGGAAAUGAAUGUUUUUAACAUUUGCAAGCAACAUGGAGAUGAAGAUGAUUUGCAUGAAGUAGAUCUUAUUGAAAAAGUUGUUGAUGAUCAAUUUAUCGCUACAUGUUCACAUGAUGCGCUUGAAUUUGAAUUCAACGAUAAUUCUAAAAAUUCGCACAUGAUUUCAAGUGUUCAAGAGCUAAAGCUCGAUUUGAAACCAUUUUUUGAGAAUUUCUCUAGAUUGGAAGAGUCCGUUGCUGUACAUGAUUCUAAAGAUUGAUAUCCUUUUCUCAUUAUUUUAUUUUGUAUGUUUCUUUUCAGUUUUAUAAUGUUGUGUGUUUGUUUUAGGUGUGUUUCUUUUAUUGUUGUUUUUUCUUUCACUAAUGAAAUUGAAGGAACAUUUAGGCCAAGUUUAUGCAGACUUUCCAGGUAAAGCUCAAAACUCGUCCCUUUGUUCAAAAUUUUCCUCCUUCUUGUCCUUCAUAUAUUUUGCACAUUUAAUCUUUACAUUGAGGACAAUUUUUCAUUUAGGUUGGGGGAAAGGAAUCAAAAUGUUUAAAAAAAAAAAAGUUCUUACCGAUCGAUGAUAAUAUUUAGAAUUGUUGUUAUAUUAUUGUGACUAGGGGAUGCUGCUUUGAUUUUGUUUAAGCUUGAUCAUGUUAGAUUGAUCUACAUUGAGCACAAUAAUCAUGAAAAUCACAUAUUAUUUAGAUUGGAUCAAUGGAUAGAAUAUGUAGAAUUAACUAUGACCCAAAAAAAAAAUCCAACUAUUAGAAUUAACUAUGACCCAAAAAAAAAAAAAAAAAAAACUUCCAACUAAACCAAUUCUAGGAUAGUUUGGGGUGGUUGAGCUAUUGUGGGGAGACAUUGAGAUAGAUGUGGAUUCCAUUUGUGUUAAAUUUUGUGUGGAUUGCUUAAGACCAAUGAGAUGAUAAUUAAGUGAAAAUCUUAAGUUAAAGAUCGAUUUUCGAGAAUAAGUAUUUAAUGAGGGGCAUUGCACUAAUCAUUGCAUAGAAGGGAAAAAGCUGUCAUGUUGUGCAGCUACCCUAAAAGAGCCCAAUGAGGACAAUUUUACAUUAAAAAAGAUAGGCUACUGCAUGAAACAGACUACGCACGGCAAACUUGAAAAAAAUAGGUGCAUGAAAUAGAAGACGCAUUACAUGCUUUGAUUAAGUCCCAAACACUUAUUUUAGAGAAUUAGACCUUUGAUAAGGGAUUAGUAGUUUAGUUGAUUCUUGGAGGUUGAGUCAGUUAAAAUUAAGGAGAAUCCUCAUUUAUUGAUGUGUUGAGCUACGAUUAGUAAAAUCUAACCAAACUAGAGAGGGUGAGUAGUAGCAUAUAAAUUUAACCAUAAAUCACACCUUGAGAAAAUAGUUACAAAAUCAAGUUUGGGGGUGUGCAUCCAACGAGAGAAGAGAGAAAUAGUUGAACAUUGAGGGUCGGGAUGAGUCCAAUUUGAAAAAAGUAUAUGAUUGAAUUGAUUAUGCACCCACACACGUUGGUCAAGUAUUGGACAAGUUAGACUAUAUUUUGGUAGCAAACCUUAGAAGAGCUUUGAUAAACAAUUUCAAAUCCUAAGGCAAAUGCGACAAGCUAUAUCAUUUGAAAUAUUUUUGAAUUUUCAUUGCUAGAGAAUAGCAAUAUCUUGGUUGGGGAGUGUGAUUAUUGUCUAAAAGUGCUUCAAAGAGAUAUCAUUUACAAGGCAUUUUACAUUCACUUUAUUUAAAAACACUAAUGUUAGUCUCUAAUUUUAAUUCUCUUGCAGUAAAUUCAAUUUCCAUAAAUACAUGGUUAAAGAUGCAAUUAAUUGAAAUACGUAUUUACAUACAUGUCGGCAUGAGUAUUAUACAUUUCAAAUAGUAUCUAUUUGAUGUAUUUCACAUGUAUUUCCAAUUUAGAACAAGUAGAGCAAGUGGAGGAAAAUAAUGUUGAAAAGUAAAAAAUAGUGACUAUCUCAAGCAAGAAGCAGCUGUCGGUAAAAUGACUAUAACUUGAGCUCUAGACAUUGGAUCGAGGUGAUUCAAGUUGAUUUUUAAGGAUAAGGAAUUUUUCUACAACGUUCAUGUUUUAAAAGAAGUCAAAUUCGUAUCACAAGGUAGCUAAAAUUACCAUGGAAAGUCCAGCUUGUUACCUGCCGGAUACAGCUUUACCUGUGAAGCAGCACUCAUUGUUUUUGUCAUAUCUGGAGUUAUAUAGAUCCAAUGAACCUGAUAUUUCAACCCAUGAAAAGAUAACGCAAGUGGAAAUAAUUUAUCUGUUGAUCAUAAGUCCAAAUUCACUGCACAAUAUAUCUAAAAAUUGGCAUCAAGUUGCAUAUUCCAGCUGUCUUGAAGCUGGAUAGAAACAAGUUGCAUUGCCUACUUGAAUUUUGGAUGUUCCUUUGCCUAUAAAAGGGGACCUUGGCCACGAUUUUGAGAGCAUCAAUUCCUCUCCCAUCAUAUUCUAGUUUCCUUCUUUUUCUUUGUAACAUUUCAUUAUGUAUUUCUAAACCAUUAGCUAGAGCUAGGGGUGAAACUUUGGUGAAUGUAUAGUAUUAUCUUUGAUCUUUCAUUUUGUUCUUCAAUGUUCAUCUUCUUACUUGGUUGAAGUAUAUGUUCUACAAAUGGUUUUGGUCUGUUAAAGACUUUGAUUUAUUGUUGACAAUUUUGGCACAAUAAAUGCUUAGAUAAUCUCUACAUUCCAACAACUUAUUUUGACAUAUUCUCUCAAACAUUAAUCAAGAUCUAUCUUUUAAUAUAUUUGUGAUCAAUGUUUUUUCUUCCAUAUGAGAUCACUCCUUAGUUGAUUUUCAUAUGAGUUAAAUUAAAGAUCAAGAGCAAUUUCUACUCAUUUAUCCGAAGUGAAUCCCCGACGCUCUAGUGUUCGUCUCAAUCGUAUUUUCACCAGCCAUUCACUACUCAUAGACUAGUUCAUUUCCUUCCAAUUCCCUGUGGUUCGACCUCGGACUUCCGAGAUUUACUACUUGCGACAACCUGCACUUGGGUUUGCGACCUUAAAGUUGUAGCAAGUUUUUGGCGCCGUUGCCAGGGUUUUGCGUCGAGGAUUAUUUUCUGCUACUUUCUGUGAGGUUUUCUUCUCUUUCAUAAUCUUCAUAAAUCAGGUACACUCGUUCCUUUUUCAAUCUUAUUACUUUAGUUAUUUUACUUUAAAGGAAGGCUGAGCCUCCUUAGUUUUUUUUCUUUCUUUAAAGGGAAGGCCGAGCCUCCCGACCUGUCGUAUUUUUAUUAUAUGGUUGGCUGUGCCACCUAAUUUUUGUUCUUAUUAUAUGGUUGGUCGUGCCACCUAAUUUUCGUUCAUUACAUCUACUUUUUGUUAUUUUAUGUCAUAUUGGUAUCGUGAAUUAAAUUCUCAUCGUUUAGUUAAAGAUAAUUGUGAAACUUAUUUUAGUAAUUUAUUUAACUCACCUCAACACUCACUCACAUCUUCCACCAUGGCUGAUAAUGAAAGCGUACAUGAUGAAAAUGAAAACCAACAAGCACGAACCAUGCGUGAUUACUUGCAACCUCCUUGAAACUCUGCUCCUUCAUGCUUCAUUUUCCCUCUUAAUGCUAAUAAUUUUCGAUUCAAGACGGGUAUGAUUCCAUUACUUCCUAAUUUUCAUGGCUUAGAAUCCGAAAGUCCAUAUUUGCAUCUUGAAGAAUUUGAGGAAGUAUGUGCCACAUUUAACGAUCAAACUUGUCCCAAUGAAAUUAUUAAGUUGAAAUUGUUUCCUUUUUCUCUAAAAGAUAAAGCAAAAACUUGGCUUAACUCUUUAAAACCUAGGUCGAUUGGCACAUGGCAAGAAAUGCAAAGUGAGUUUUUGAAGAAAUUUUUUCCAGCACAUAAAACUAAUGCUUUGAAAAGACAAAUCCAAAUUUUUUCUCAAAAAACCAAUGAAGCGUACUUUCAAUGUUUAGAAUGAUUUAAAGAUUUGUUAAAUACAUGCACACAUCAUGGUUUUGAAAAAUGGCGUACUAUAAGUUUCUUAUAUGGGGGCCUAACUCCUGAAACAAAACAAUUUGUAGAAACGAUGUGCAAUGGUGAAUUUUUAGAUAAAGAUCCAAAUGAAGCUUUAGAAUUUCUAGAUCAUCUAGCUGAAAAUUCUCAAUCUUCGUAAACAGUAAAACCAAUCGAAAACUCAAUCAGAUCUAGUCUUGUUAGUUCUAGUGGAGGAAAAUAUCAAUUGAGUCAAGAUGAUGAUCUAAAUGCUAGGAUUGCUAGUUUUUCUAGAAAGGUUGAAGCAAUGGAAUUAAGGAAAGUAAAGGAAGUUAAACCCAUGCAAAAUGAUGAGAUUUGUAGCAUUUUUGAAACUUUUGGUCAUCUUACACAUGAUUGUCCUAACAUUCCAGUUUUCAAAGAAGUUUUACAUGAUCAAGCCAAUGCUAGGAACACUUUCAAAAAGCCUCUUUCUUCUCCAUACUCGGAAACAUAUUAUCAACAAUGGAGAAAUCAUCCCAACUUUAGUUGGAGAGAUGAUAAUCGUGUUCAUUUAUUACAACCUCAAGGGCUUUCAAAAUUUUCUUCUUGUCCACCACCACAAUCAAAGACUCUUGAGGAAACAUUGCAGUCUUUUAUGCAAGGACAAGCAAAUAUUAAUAAUCAAACUUCACAAGCCAUUAAUGAAAUCAAGAACACACUUUCUUCAUUGACCUCUUCCCUGCGUUCUCAAGAGAAAGGCAAAUUUCCUGCUCAACCUCAACCUAAUCCUUCCGGGCAAUUUAAUGUAAAUGCUUCAAGUUCCUCUGAAAGUCAACAAGAAAAUGCCAACUCCAUCACGACUCUUCGUAGUGGAAAAAUUAUUCACAAAACCAUCCCUUUAAAAGAACUAAAAUCGGGUGGGUCUUCAAAGAAAGAAAAUGACUUUUCCAAAAGUGAGGAAAAGAUCAUUUCUGAACCCAUUGUUGAAAAAUGUACCAUUCCAGCUCCAUUUUCUCAAUGAUUGCAACCAAUUUCAAAACUCAACCAUAAUUCUGAAAUUUUUGAACUUUUCACACAAGUCAAAAUUAACAUACCAUUAUUGGAUGCAAUCAAACAAGUUCCUUCAUAUGCAAAAUUUUUAAAAGACUUGUGCAUUGUCAAGAGGAAGCUUAAUGUUCAACAGAAAGCAUUUUUGACGAAGAAUGUGAGCUCAAUCAUUCAACAAAACACUCCACCUAAAUUCAAAGAUCCUGGUUGUCCAACAAUUUCUUGUGUGAUUGGGAAUAAUAAGAUAGAGCGUGCUUUCCUUGAUCUUGGUGCUAGUGUUAAUCUAUUACUUUUUUCUGUGUAUGAGCAACUUGGUUUGGGAGAGCUUAAACCAAUAGCAACAACACUUCAACUUGCUGAUCGUUCAGUAAAAGUUUCAAGAGGGGUUGUAGAGGAUGUUCUAGUUCAAAUUGAUAAAUUCUAUUAUCCUGUUGAUUUUAUAGUUUUGGACACACAUCCUGUUUUAAAUUCAAAUGCACAAAUACCUGUCAUUUUAGGACGUCCCUUUCUUGCUACUUCAAAUGCGUUGAUAAAUUGUAGAAAUGGUAUCUUGAAACUCUCUUUUGGAAAUAUGACAGUGG
rnacentral:lncRNA from 1 species